AUUCCAUGAUGAGGGCACUUCCGUAAUAUUUCUUUGUAUCUUUCUCAUGCCUUAAAUAAGGAGUCGUAAUCCAUUUGUUGGAAAGUAGUGAUCCCGUUCCUCAACUU
rfam:Gossypium hirsutum cultivar TM-1 chromosome 1, whole genome shotgun sequence